rnacentral:rRNA from 1 species
UACGGAAGGCAGCAGUGGGGAAUAUUGCACAAUGGGCGCAAGCCUGAUGCAGCCAUGCCGCGUGUAUAGAAAAGGCCUUCGGGUUGUAAAGUACUUUCAGUCGUGAGGAAGGUGUUAAGGUUAAUAACCUUAGCAAUUGACGUUAGCGACAGAAGAAGCACCGGCUAACUCCGUGCCAGCAGCCGCGGUAAUACGGAGGGUGCGAGCGUUAAUCGGAAUUACUGGGCGUAAAGGGCACGCAGGCGGUUAAUUAAGUUGGAUGUGAAAUCCCCGGGCUUAACCUGGGAAUGGCAUUCAAGACUGGUUAGCUAGAGUCUUGUAGAGGGGGUAGAAUUCCAUGUGUAGCGGUGAAAUGCGUAGAGAUGUGGAGGAAUACCGGUGGCGAAGGCGGCCCCUGGACAAAGACUGACGCUCAUGUGCGAAAGCGUGGGGAGCAAACAGGGAUUAGAUACC